UCGGGUAAGUUCCGACCUGCACGAAUGGCGUAAUGAUGGCCAGGCUGUCUCCACCCGAGACUCAGUGAAAUUGAACUCGCUGUGAAGAUGCAGUGUACCCGCGGCAAGACGGAAAGACCCCGUGAACCUUUACUAUAGCUUGACACUGAACAUUGAGCCUUGAUGUGUAGGAUAGGUGGGAGGCUUUGAAGUGUGGACGCCAGUCUGCAUGGAGCCGACCUUGAAAUACCACCCUUUAAUGUUUGAUGUUCUAACGUUGGCCCGUAAUCCGGGUUGCGGACAGUGUCUGGUGGGUAGUUUGACUGGGGCGGUCUCCUCCUAAAGAGUAACGGAGGAGCACGAAGGUUGGCUAAUCCUGGUCGGACAUCAGGAGGUUAGUGCAAUGGCAUAAGCCAGCUUGACUGCGAGCGUGACGGCGCGAGCAGGUGCGAAAGCAGGUCAUAGUGAUCCGGUGGUUCUGAAUGGAAGGGCCAUCGCUCAACGGAUAAAAGGUACUCCGGGGAUAACAGGCUGAUACCGCCCAAGAGUUCAUAUCGACGGCGGUGUUUGGCACCUCGAUGUCGGCUCAUCACAUCCUGGGGCUGAAGUAGGUCCCAAGGGUAUGGCUGUUCGCCAUUUAAAGUGGUACGCGAGCUGGGUUUAGAACGUCGUGAGACAGUUCGGUCCCUAUCUGCCGUGGGCGCUGGAGAACUGAGGGGGGCUGCUCCUAGUACGAGAGGACCGGAGUGGACGCAUCACUGGUGUUCGGGUUGUCAUGCCAAUGGCACUGCCCGGUAGCUAAAUGCGGAAGAGAUAAGUGCUGAAAGCAUCUAAGCACGAAACUUGCCCCGAGAUGAGUUCUCCCUGAGACUUAGAGUCUCCUGAAGGAACGUUGAAGACGACGACGUUGAUAGGCCGGGUGUGUAAGCGCAGCGAUGCGUUGAGCUAACCGGUACUAAUGAACCGUGAGGCUUAACCUUACAACGCCGAAG
rnacentral:rRNA from 1 species